rnacentral:rRNA from 1 species
GACGAACGCUGGCGGCGUGCUUAACACAUGCAAGUCGAACGGAAAGGCCCUGCUUUUGUGGGGUGCUCGAGUGGCGAACGGGUGUGUCACACGUGUGUACCCUCCCCUUGUCUGUGGGAUAACUUCAGGACACUGGCUCUAAUACCAUAUAAGAGCUCCUGCUGCAUGGUGGGGGUUGGAAAUUUUCGGGGGUUGGGGAUGGACUCGCGGCUUAUCCGCUUGUUGGGGGGGUAGUGGCUUACCAAGGCUUUGACGGGUAGCCGGCCUGAGAGGGUGACCGGACACAUUGGGACUGAGAUACGGCCCAGACUCCUACGGGAGGCAGCAGUGGGGAAUAUUGCACAAUGGGCGGAAGCCUGAUGCAGCAACGCCGCGUGCGGGAUGACGGCCUUCGGGUUGUAAACCGCUUUCGCCUGUGACGAAGCGUGAGUGACGGUAAUGGGUAAAGAAGCACCGGCUAACUACGUG